GCAAGUCGAGCGAAUGGAUUAAGAGCUUGCUCUUAUGAAGUUAGCGGCGGACCGGUGAGUAACACGUGGGUAACCUGCCCAUAAGACUGGGAUAACUCCGGGAAACCGGGGCUAAUACCGGAUAACAUUUUGAACCGCAUGGUUCGAAAUUGAAAGGCGGCUUCGGCUGUCACUUAUGGAUGGACCCGCGUCGCAUUAGCUAGUUGGUGAGGUAACGGCUCACCAAGGCAACGAUGCGUAGCCGACCUGAGAGGGUGAUCGGCCACACUGGGACUGAGACACGGCCCAGACUCCUACGGGAGGCAGCAGUAGGGAAUCUUCCGCAAUGGACGAAAGUCUGACGGAGCAACGCCGCGUGAGUGAUGAAGGCUUUCGGGUCGUAAAACUCUGUUGUUAGGGAAGAACAAGUGCUAGUUGAAUAAGCUGGCACCUUGACGGUACCUAACCAGAAAGCCACGGCUAACUACGUGCCAGCAGCCGCGGUAAUACGUAGGUGGCAAGCGUUAUCCGGAAUUAUUGGGCGUAAAGCGCGCGCAGGUGGUUUCUUAAGUCUGAUGUGAAAGCCCACGGCUCAACCGUGGAGGGUCAUUGGAAACUGGGAGACUUGAGUGCAGAAGAGGAAAGUGGAAUUCCAUGUGUAGCGGUGAAAUGCGUAGAGAUAUGGAGGAACACCAGUGGCGAAGGCGACUUUCUGGUCUGUAACUGACACUGAGGCGCGAAAGCGU
rnacentral:rRNA from 1 species